UACGGAGGGUGCAAGCGUUAUCCGGAUUCACUGGGUUUAAAGGGUGCGUAGGUGGGUUGGUAAGUCAGUGGUGAAAUCUCCAGGCUUAACUUGGAAACUGCCAUUGAUACUAUCAAUCUUGAAUACCGUGGAGGUCAGCGGAAUAUGUCAUGUAGCGGUGAAAUGCUUAGAUAUGACAUAGAACACCAAUUGCGAAGGCAGCUGGCUACACGAGCAUUGACACUGAUGCACGAAAGCGUGGGGAUCAAACAGG
rnacentral:rRNA from 1 species